rnacentral:rRNA from 1 species
GUGAGGAAUAUUGCGCAAUGGGCGAAAGCCUGACGCAGCGACGCCGCGUGGAGGAUGAAGGUCUUCGGAUUGUAAACUUCUGUUAAGUGGGAAGAAAGGGCUGCUUUUAAUAGAAGCAGUUAAUGACGGUACCAUUAAAGAAAGCACCGGCUAAACUCGUGCCAGCAGCCGCGGUAAUACGAGUGGUGCAAGCGUUAUUCGGAAUAAUUGGGCGUACAGGGUGUGUAGGCGGUAUGUUAAGUCUGUUGUUAAAGACUCCGGCCUAACCGGAGACAGGCAGCGGAAACUGGCGUACUAGAGGGUGGAAGAGAGAAGUGGAAUUCUCGGUGUAGCGGUAAAAUGCGUAGAUAUCGAGAGGAACACCGAUGGCGAAGGCAGCUUCUUGGUCCAUACCUGACGCUGAAACACGAAAGCGUGGGGAGCAAACAGGAUUAGAUACCCCAGUAGUCC